rnacentral:rRNA from 1 species
GUUGGCUUGGAAGCAGCCAUUCAUUUAAAGAGUGCGUAACAGCUCACUAGUCGAGGAUUUUGGCAUGGAUAAUACACGGGCAUAAGCAAUUUACCGAAGCCGUGGGAUAUAGUAAAAUAUCGGUAGGGGAGCAUUCCAGCGACGUAGAAGGGAAAAGGGCGACUUUUUCUGGAGUUUCUGGAAAAGCAAAUGUAGGUAUAAGUAACGAUAAAGGGGGCGAGAACCCCCCUCGCCGAAAGACCAAGGAUUCCUGAUCAACGCUAAUCGGAUCAGGGUUAGUCGGGGCCUAAGGAUAAGCCGAUAGGCGAUUCCGAUGGACGAACCGGUUAAUAUUCCGGUACUGAUACAGAGAGCGAUGUGGUGACGGAGAAGUGACAGUCCGGCCGUCUGACGGAAUAGGCGGUUAAAGGGUGUAGAUGUUGAUCGGGGUAGGCAAAUCCGCCCUGAGAGUCGAACCUGACAGUACCCGGAGUACAAGUACGAAGGGAUAAGGACGUAACCCGGCUCCCAAGAAAACCCGCUAAGCAUAUUUCUGUGUUACCCGUACCGUAAACCGACACAGGUGGUUGGGUUGAGUAUACUAAGGCGCUCGAGAGAUUCGCGGUUAAGGAACUAGGCAAAAUGGUCCUGUAACUUCGGGAGAAAGGACGCCUGUCUCCGGACAGGCCGCAGAAACCAGGCCCAGGCGACUGUUUAACAAAAACACAAGGCUAUGCAAAAAAGCAAUUUGAGGUAUAUAGUCUGACACCUGCCCGGUGCUGGAAGGUUAAGAGGAGGAGUCAUCGUCAAGAGAAGCUCUGAAUUGAAGCCCCAGUAAACGGCGGCCGUAACUAUAACGGUCCUAAGGUAGCGAAAUUCCUUGUCGGGUAAGUUCCGACCUGCACGAAUGGUGUAACGAUCUGGGCACUGUCUCAACCGCGAUCUCGGUGAAAUUGUAGUAUCGGUGAAGAUGCCGAUUACCCGCAACGGGACGAAAAGACCCCGUGAACCUUUACUAUAGCUUUACAUUGUAUUUGGGCAUCAGAUGUGUAGGAUAGGCCGGAGGCAGAGAAGCGGGUACGCCAGUAUUCGUGGAGUCGAUGUUGAAAUACGGCCCUUUUGAUGUUUGGAUACUAACUCGCGGCAUGCGAGGACACUGUAUGGUGGGUAGUUUGACUGGGGUGGUCGCCUCCAAAAGCGUAACGGAGGCUUCUAAAGGUACCCUCAGGCCGAUUGGUAACCGGUCGCAGAGUGUAAUGGCACAAGGGUGCUUGACUGGGAGACAAACAAGUCGCACAGGUAGGAAACUAGAGCAUAGUGAUCCGGUGGUUCCGCAUGGAAGGGCCAUCGCUCAAAGGAUAAAAGGU